rnacentral:misc_RNA from 1 species
CCGAGAGAGGGUCGCCCCCGCGCGCCCGACCUCCCAACCCUUUUGAUUGACCGUUACCUCGUUGCCUCGGGGGGUCCGGCCUCGGCCGCCCCCGGUGGGCCAACCCAUCAAACUCUGCGUCCUUGCGUCGGAGUCUUAUAUGAAAUCGUUUA